rnacentral:rRNA from 1 species
AUCUACAGCCAUGCCACCGUGAACAAGCCCAAUCUCAUCUGAUCUUGGAAGCUAAGCACGGUUGGGCCUGGUUAGUACUUGGAUGGGAGACCAUCUAGGAAGACCAGGGGGCUGUAGACA